GCGGAGGAAAAGAAACUAACAAGGAUUCCCCUAGUAACGGCGAGUGAAGCGGGAAGAGCUCAAAUUUGUAAUCUGGCGGCCUUUGGCCGUCCGAGUUGUAGUCUCGAGAAGCGUCUUCUGCGUCGGACCGUGUACAAGUCCCUUGGAACAGGGCGUCGUAGAGGGUGAGAAUCCCGUCUUUGACACGGACUGCCGGUGCUCUGUGAUGCGCUCUCAAAGAGUCGAGUUGUUUGGGAAUGCAGCUCAAAACGGGUGGUAAAUUCCAUCUAAAGCUAAAUAUUGGCGAAAGACCGAUAGCGAACAAGUACCGUGAGGGAAAGAUGAAAAGCACUUUGGAAAGAGAGUUAAACAGUACGUGAAAUUGUUGAAAGGGAAACGCUUGAAGUCAGUCGCGUCUCCCGGGAUUCAGCCGUGCCCCUGUCGGGGCGCGGUGUACUUCCUGGCUGUGACGGGCCAGCAUCGAUUUUGGCCGUCGGAGAAAGGCCUUGGGAAUGUGGCACCUUCGGGUGUGUUAUAGCCCUGGGUCGCAUGCGACGGUCGGGAUCGAGGACCGCAGCACGUUUCUCCUUCCUUCGCGGGAAAGGGGCUCGGGGUUCGCCCACGCAAACGUUGCUUAGGAUGCUUGGCGUAAUGGCUUUAAGCGACCCGUCUUG
rnacentral:rRNA from 1 species